ACGAAGGGGAAGGCAAGUAUGUGGAUGCCUGCUCCCAAUUAAGCCAUGCACGUCUGAGAUAAAGAGUGUUUUCUCUGAAUCUGCGAAUGGCUCAUUAUAUCAGUUAUAUUGAUUUGAUAGUCCCUUUACUACAUGGAUAACCGUAGUAAUUCUAGAGCUAAUACAUGCAUCAAAUUCCCAACUACUUUGUCGGAAGGGAUGUAUUUAUUAGAUAGAAACCAAUGCGGGGCAACCCGGUAUUGUGGUGAAUCAUGAUAACCUUUGCGGAUCGCCGGCCUAGCCAGCGACGAAUCAUUCAAUUUCUGGCCUUAUCAGCUUUGGAUGGUAGGGUAUUGGCCUACCAUUGGCUCUAACGGGUAACGGAGAAUUGGGGUUCGAUUCCGGAGAGGGAGCCUGAGAGACGGCUACCACAUCUAAGGAAGGCAGCAGGAGCGUAAAUUACCCAAUCCUGACACAGGGAGGUAGUGACAAAUAAAUAACAAUGCCGGGGUUUAACUCUGGCUAUUGGAAUGAGAACAAUUUAAAUCCCUUAUCGAGGAUCAAUUGGAGGGCAAGUCUGGGGCCGGCAGCUCGGUAAUUCCAGCUCCAGUAGCGUAUACUAGUUGUUGCAGUUAAAAAGCUCGUAGUUGGAUUUCUGGCGGGGACGGCUGGUCGGUCUCGAAAGGGGCUGUACUGUUGUUGGUUCCCGUCAUUCCUUUGGGGAGAGCGGCUCCUUACAUUUAAGUUUUGGCGUCGGGAUCCCUAUCCUUUUACUGUGAGAAAAAAUUAGAGUGUUCAAAGCAGGCUUAGGCCCUGAAUACAUUAGCAUGGGAAUAAUAAGAUACGACCUUGGUUGGUCUUUUUGUUUGUUUUGCACGCAAGGUAAUGAUUAAUAGGGAUAUUGGGGGGAUUUGUCUUCAAUUUCAGAGGUGGAAAUUCUUUGGAUUUAUGGAAGAAGGAACAACUGCCAGAGAGCCUUUACCAAGGAUGUUUUCAUUAAUCAAGAACGAAAGUUAGGGGAUAACAAAGGAUGUUUUCAUUAAUCAAGAACGAAAGUUAGGGGAUCGAAGAUGAUUAGAUACCGUCGUAGUCUUAACCAUAAACUAUGCCGACUAGGGAUCGGUGGGUGCAUUUUUAGGGCUUCAUCGGCACCUUAUGAGAAAUCAAAGUCCUUUGGGUUUCGGGGGGAGUAUGGUCGCAAGGCUGAAACUCAAAGAAAUUGACGGAGGGCACCACCAGGAGUGGAGCCUGCGGCUUAAUUUGACCCAACACGGGGAAACUUACCAGGUCCAGACAUAGUAAGGAUUGACAGAUUGAGAGCUCUUUCUUGAUUCUAUGGGUGGUGGUGCAUUGGCCGUUCUUAGUUGGUGGAGUGUUUUCUGGUUAAUUCCGUUAACGAACGAGACCCCCGCCUGCUAAAUAGUACUGGGAAUGCUUAGCCUUUGUCAGAGACUUCUUAGAGGGACUUUCGGCGCUAGGCCGAAGGAAGUUGGGGGCAAUAACAGGUCUGUGAUGCCCUUAGAUGUCCUGGGCCGCACGCGCGCUACACUGAUGCGUUCAACGAGUUUAUAACCUUGUCCGGAAGGGCCGGGGAAUCUUGGAAUUGUGCACAUCGUGAUAGGGAUAGAUUAUUGCAACUUUUGUCCUGGAACGAAAUCCUAGUAAACGCGAGUCAUCAGCUCGCAUUGAUUACGUCCCUGCCCUUUGUAUACACACCGCCCGUCGCACCUACCGAUUGAAUGAUUCGGUGGAAGCUUUCGGAUUACGCCAUCAGCCUCGGCCGACGGCGUGAGAAGUUAUCUAAACCUCAUCAUUUAGAGGAAGGUGAAGUCGUAACAAGGUUUCCGUAGGUGAACCGUCCGGUG
rnacentral:rRNA from 1 species